rnacentral:rRNA from 1 species
CUCUCGUAGGCGUUUCGAAAAUGAAUCAAAACUUUCAACAACGGAUCUCUUGGUUCUGGCAUCGAUGAAGAACGCAGCGAAAUGCGAUAAGUAAUGUGAAUUGCAGAAUUCAGUGAAUCAUCGAAUCUUUGAACGCACAUUGCGCCCGCCAGUAUUCUGG